rnacentral:rRNA from 1 species
UUGGGCCUACGGGGGGCAGCAGUGAGGAAUAUUGGUCAAUGGUCGGGAGACUGAACCAGCCACGCCGCGUGAGGGAGGAAGGUACAGAGUAUCGUAACCCUCUUUUGUCAGGGAACAAAGGCGGGGACGUGUCCCCGGAUGAGUGUACCUGAAGAAAAAGCAUCGGCUAACUCCGUGCCAGCAGCCGCGGUAAUACGGAGGAUGCGAGCGUUAUUCGGAUUUAUUGGGUUUAAAGGGUGCGCAGGCGGCCUGUUAAGUCAGCGGUCAAAGCCCGGGGCUCAACCCCGGCCCGCCGUUGAAACUGG